AUUGAACGCUGGCGGCAGGCCUAACACAUGCAAGUCGAGCGGAGCGGCGGACGGGUGAGUAAUGCCUAGGAAUCUGCCUGGUAGUGGGGGAUAACGUCCGGAAACGGGCGCUAAUACCGCAUACUAUCAGAUGAUCCUAGGUCGGAUUAGCGAGUUGGUGGGUUAAAGGCCUACCAAGGCGACGAGCUCUAGCUGGUCUGAGAGGAUGAUCAGCAAAACUGGGACUGAGACACGGCCCAGACGCCGACGGGAGGAAGCAGUGGGGAAUAUUGCAAAAUGGGCGCAAGCCUGAUGCAGCCAUGCCGCGUGUAUGAAGAAGGCCUUAGGGUUGUAAAGUACUUUCAGCGGGGAGGCGUUACCCGCAGAAGAAGCACCGGCUAACUCCGUGCCAGCAGCCGCGGUAAUAC
rnacentral:rRNA from 1 species